rnacentral:rRNA from 1 species
AGUGGCGGACGGGUGAGUAACACGUAAGAAUUUGCCUUUAGGAGGGGGACAACAACUGGAAACGGUUGCUAAUACCCCAUAUGCUUUCGAGUGAAAUGGAUUUUUCCGCCUAAAGAGAAGCUUGCGGCUGAUUAGCUUGUUGGUGAGGUAAUGGCUCACCAAGGCGACGAUCAGUAUCUGGUUUGAGAGGACGAUCAGACACACUGGAACUGAGACACGGUCCAGACUCCUACGGGAGGCAGCAGUAGGGAAUUUUCCGCAAUGGGCGAAAGCCUGACGGAGCAAUACCGCGUGAGGGAUGACUGCCUAUGGGUUGUAAACCUCUUUUUUCAGGGAGGAAUAAAAUGACGUGUACCUGAAGAAUAAGCAUCGGCUAACUCCGUGCCAGCAGCCGCGGUAAGACGGAGGAUGCAAGUGUUAUCCGGAAUCACUGGGCGUAAAGCGUCUGUAGGUGGCUCGAUAAGUCAACUGUUAAAUCUUGAAGCUCAACUUCAAAAUCGCAGUCGAAACUAUCGGACUAGAGUAUAGUAGAGGUAAAGGGAAUUUCCAGUGGAGCGGUGAAAUGCGUAGAUAUUGGAAAGAACACCGAUGGCGAAGGCACUUUACUGGGCUAUUACUGACACUCAGAGACGAAAGCUAGGGUAGCAAAUGGGAUUAGAUACCCCAGUAGUCCUAGCCGUAAACAAUGGAUACUAGGUGUUGAACAGAUCGACCUGUGCAGUACCAAAGCUAACGCGUUAA